AAAUUUUUUUUUUGAGGAUCCCUUAUUACAACCGACUCGCCGUGCUUUGCGUCCGGUUAGCUCUCGCACCGACAUGCAUGCCCGCACCUUGGGCGAACACCCUCUGGUCACGGAACAAAAAUCCGGUGCACCGGAUGGAUAUGUGCACCCACUGGACCGGUGACAUGGCUAACAUAUGCGUAGUAGUUUUCGUUUUUUUUUUUGCGAGGGGCGUAGUAGUUUUCGUUACUGGCAUAUUUACCAUAACAUCGUGUUUUUUUAUUUAAAAAAAUAACAUGCACUCUGUCUUAUUGAGAUUUUGCUGUGAACCCAAUUUUUUGAUACAAAACUAAGUUUCAAGGAAGAGAUGAUACGAGAUUGAGAUCAUUUGAAGCAUGGACUUUAGUUGUUGUAUGCCAUCUUCAACCAUUCGCGGCAUGGUUGAGGAUUGAUGCUCAUGGCUGAGAAAACAUGAGGUGUAAUGUCGCUGGCGCCUUAUCAAUACUCAUGGCUGAGUCCCAUCGGGGACAUCCGAUAAAUACUCAUGGCUGACCAAUGCAGCAGUUGUACAGGUUCAUCAUGCAUGCAUUGGCGCCUCUCCCGCCAAAUCUUACAUUACUAAGAAGUUUAUCCCUACUACAAGGCAUUCUCUUGACAUGCACUUCAGUUACCACCGACGAUAAACCAUCUCUCUUUCGCCAGACCCUCUUCGGCCUCUCCACCCUCUCCGCCCAAUAAUCUCCACAAUUAACUCCUCUGCCAAUUAAUUUUCAUCACCGAUUCCUAUUCAUCUUCUCCAUCACGAUCCCCUUUAAACUUCCAUCUUCCACACAGAGAUUAGAAACACACCGGCCGCUGGUACAGCUGCCGCCCCCAGCCGUCCACCCCACGAGAGCCACCCACCGCCGCCCACCCCCACCCCCUCCCCGUCUGGACCCCGUAAGUCGCCGCCAGCAACUUGCGCGCCGUCGCCAGCCAACUGACCACCGGCGCCGCCCUCGACCAAGCCGUUGCGCGCGCCAUCUGCCCCAACCCCAUCGCGUGCCGCUGGUGGCAACCUUCCCGAGCCCUCGCCGCGAUAGCCACAACCAUCCGCAGCUGUGGAUCCACCUUCCCCAACACCGAUCUGUACCCCGUGAUUCGACUUCUCGCCGCCGGCUAGCCUGCUUCAGUGCCACCGGGCAAGCCCACGGAGCAGCGCCCGCCCAACGCCCUGACAGUGGCCAGCGACGCAUGUGUCCUUGGCCCCACCCAUCACCACCGACCAGACUACUUCUUCCUCCUUCAUCUGAAAACGACGAUCUGGAGGAGCCCACAACGGUGUCCCGUUUCUUCUCUAGUCAAGCUCUUCUUUUAUUUUGAAUAAGGCUUUUGUCAAGUUCCUCUACUCUUCUUGCAUCGUGAGUGUGGCAUCGCCGAGUCCAUGAAAAUUUUCACAACAUGGUAGUGGUACAAAGAUAAAUGGUGCGAUGCGAAGCAGCUGGUGGAUUCUGGGGGAUGCCAUCGUCGCACUAGGCCACCGUCGAUCACCAUCCGCUUACAGGAAGGUUUCAGAACUCAGAAGCUCCCUCUUCACCAUCCCUGCAAUCUUUUGCCUAUUUGGUUAGCGUGUUUCUUAUCUUGAUUAUUGUAGCUAUUAGAAUUGUUGGAUCUUUUGAUAUUUGGUCCUCGAUCUGACAAGUAUUACCUUUUUGAUAAAUAACUUUGUAAAACUGCAUCAUUCAGUUCAUUUCUUAGGUCAUCUCUAGUAGUAGUUAAUUUUAAGUCAAGAUUGAAGUUUUAAUAGUAAUCUAAGGACUGUACAUCUUGGUUAUUGUCUUAUUGAUUAUACAAUACAUAUUAGAGGAAAUUACAAGUGCCUUAAACAACCUACUGAAAUCUACGAUUACAUAGAGGUGUAGCCAUGGUUGAAGAUCAGGGCCAGAGCCAGAUUUGGACCAUGCUCUGAGCUGGCAGUUUUGCUUUGUGAUGUUAAUCAACACAUUUUCCCUCUUAUCUCUAUACAUCUUUACUGGUCCUAUAAGCGAUUCUGCAGGGUUACCAUGAUAGAUAAUUUUCUCAGAAACACAAAUCCAGGAGUACAUUUGUUCUGGGAUGGGGUGAAUUUAUUGGAGGAGACUACCAGUAAGUACUAUCUUUCCUUAAUGCCUGAUUAUAUCGCUGAAAUUAGCCUCGCCGUGCAUUUGUGCUGUCGUGCAUCGCUUUCGUAGGAGAUCUUGCAGCUUUCACUCAUCGGCGAUCUUAAUGGAGUUGCUAUGAACCAAAAUGUUCAGAGUAAAUAUCAAGAGUCUAUUCUCCCAUUUAAGUUUCUUCGAAGAAUCAAGAAUGCCAAGUACAGCACAACUUCUAAUUGUUGCUCCGAAUGAAAAAGAGAAAAUCAUCUGAGUAGGGAUUUCUAGACAAGGUACAACCUACAUGUAAGUUUUUCAAAGAAGUUAUCAUGCCAGUAUACAUAAAUAAAAUUUAGUUUUACUUAUGUACAUUACUGCUUCCUUAGCAAUUAAAAGAACUAUAUCGAUGUACGCUAUUCAUGAUGCCUCUCUGGAUGUUUGGAACAUACUCCCUCCGUUCCUUUAUAUACGGUGUAUUUGUUUUUUGAUAAAAUUGCACAAUGUAAGGUGCAUUUCUUUUAAA